GACAGCAGCAGCCGCGGUAAUACGUAGGGUGCAAGCGUUAAUCGGAAUUACUGGGCGUAAAGCGUGCGCAGGCGGUUGUGUAAGACAGGUGUGAAAUCCCCGGGCUUAACCUGGGAACUGCGCUUGUGACUGCACAGCUAGAGUAUGGCAGAGGGGGGUGGAAUUCCACGUGUAGCAGUGAAAUGCGUAGAGAUGUGGAGGAACACCGAUGGCGAAGGCAGCCCCCUGGGCCAAUACUGACGCUCAUGCACGAAAGCGUGGGGAGCAAACAGGAUUAGAUACCCGCGUAGUCCCUGUCUCUUAUAC
rnacentral:rRNA from 1 species